GUGCUGCUGAAGAGUCCCAAAUUAGGACGAAACAGCUGUCCAGUAC
rnacentral:hammerhead_ribozyme from 1 species